UACAGAGGUCUCAAGCGUUGUUCGGAUUUAUUGGGCGUAAAGGGCGCGUAGGUGGCAUGGUAAGUCGGAUGUGAAAUCCCGGGGCUCAACUCCGGAACUGCAUUCGAUACUGCUGCGCUAGAGUACUGGAGAGGAGAUUGGAAUUUACGGUGUAGCAGUGAAAUGCGUAGAUAUCGUAAGGAAGACCAGUGGCGAAGGCGGAUCUCUGGACAGUUACUGACACUGAGGCACGAAGGCCAGGGGAGCAAACGGG
rnacentral:rRNA from 1 species